UACAGAGGUCCCAAGCGUUGUUCGGAUUCAUUGGGCGUAAAGGGCGCGUAGGCGGUCUUGUAAGUCUUGUGUGAAAUCCCUCGGCUCAACUGAGGAACUGCACGGGAUACUGCGAGACUUGAGUUCGGGAGAGGGAAGCGGAAUUCCGGGUGUAGCGGUGAAAUGCGUAGAUAUCCGGAGGAACACCGGUGGCGAAGGCGGCUUCCUGGACCGAUUACUGACGCUGAGGCGCGAAAGCUAGGGGAGCAAACGGG
rnacentral:rRNA from 1 species